UACGGAGGGUGCUAGCGUUGUUCGGAUAUACUGGGCGUAAAGCGCACGUAGGCGGCGCCGUAAGUCAGGGGUGAAAUCCCGGAGCUCAACUCCGGAACUGCCCUUGAAACUGCAGUGCUAGAAUCCUGGAGAGGCGAGUGGAAUUCCGAGUGUAGAGGUGAAAUUCGUAGAUAUUCGGAAGAACACCAGUGGCGAAGGCGACUCGCUGGACAGGUAUUGACGCUGAGGUGCGAAAGCGUGGGGAGCAAACAGG
rnacentral:rRNA from 1 species